GAUGAAGAACGUAGCGAAAUGCGAUACGUAAUGUGAAUUGCAGAAUUCAGUGAAUCAUCGAAUCUUUGAACGCAUAUCGCGCUCUCUGGUAUUCCGGAGAGCAUGCUUGUUUGAGUAUCAGUAAACACCUCAACUUCCAUAUCUUUUUUGAAAUGGGAGUUGGACUUGAGUGAUCCCAACGCUUUUCCUCACCGAAAAGUGGCGGGUUACUUGAAAUGCAGGUGCAGCUGGACUUUUCUCUGAGCUAUAAGCAUAUCUAUUUAGUCUGCCUAAAAAACAGAUUAUUACCUUUGCUGCAGCUAACAUAAAGGAGAUUAGUUCUUGUGCUGACUGAUGCAGGAUUCACAAAGACGGCUUCGGCCGACUUUGUAAACUCGAUCUCAAAUCAAGUAAGACUACCCGCUGAACUUAAGCAUAUCAAUAAGCGGAGGA
rnacentral:misc_RNA from 1 species